CAGCAGCCGCGGUAAUACGUAGGGUGCAAGCGUUAAUCGGAAUUACUGGGCGUAAAGCGUGCGCAGGCGGUUUGUUAAGACAGAUGUGAAAUCCCCGGGCUCAACCUGGGAACUGCAUUUGUGACUGGCAGGCUAGAGUAUGGCAGAGGGGGGUGGAAUUCCGCGUGUAGCAGUGAAAUGCGUAGAUAUGCGGAGGAACACCGAUGGCGAAGGCAGCCCCCUGGGCCAAUACUGACGCUCAUGCACGAAAGCGUGGGGAGCAAACAGGAUUAGAUACCCGCGUAGUCCCUGUCUCUUAUAC
rnacentral:rRNA from 1 species